rnacentral:tRNA from 1 species
GAGCUUGUAGCUCGCGAGUGCGGUUAGAGCGUACCUACAAUAGUAAAAUUGAGGUCGGUGGUUCAAGUCCACUCAGGCCUACCA